rnacentral:misc_RNA from 1 species
GCAAACUUGGUCAUUUAGAGGAAGUAAAAGUCGUAACAAGGUUUCCGUAGGUGAACCUGCGGAAGGAUCAUUACAAAUCCAACGUCUCUCUCUCAUGAGACCAUGUUGAAACCCUUCGUCCAUGACAUGACCUGUCUUCCCCCCGAGGCCCUGGGCUUGUCCCGGCCAAGGUGGGUGGCCAGUCAUUCAUAACUACCUGAUUUAUGUUGCUCAAUGUGUGUAUUUUCAAAGUACAACAACAACAAACCUAGAACAACUUAUAACAAUGGAUCUCUAGGCUCUUGCAUCGAUGAAGAACGCAGC